GACGAACGCUGGCGGCGUGCCUAAUACAUGCAAGUUGAGCGCUGAAGGUUGGUACUUGUACCGACUGGAUGAGCAGCGAACGGGUGAGUAACGCGUGGGGAAUCUGCCUUUGAGCGGGGGACAACAUUUGGAAACGAAUGCUAAUACCGCAUAAAAACUUUAAACACAAGUUUUAAGUUUGAAAGAUGCAAUUGCAUCACUCAAAGAUGAUCCCGCGUUGUAUUAGCUAGUUGGUGAGGUAAAGGCUCACCAAGGCGAUGAUACAUAGCCGACCUGAGAGGGUGAUCGGCCACAUUGGGACUGAGACACGGCCCAAACUCCUACGGGAGGCAGCAGUAGGGAAUCUUCGGCAAUGGACGAAAGUCUGACCGAGAAACGCCGCGUGAGUGAAGAAGGUUUUCGGAUCGUAAAACUCGGUUGGUAGAGAAGAACGUUGGUGAGAGUGGAAAGCUCAUCAAGUGACGGUAACUACCCAGAAAGGGACGGCUAACUACGUG
rnacentral:rRNA from 1 species